CACGCCGUAAACGAUGUCGAUUUGGAGGCUGUGUCCUUGAGACGUGGCUUCCGGAGCUAACGCGUUAAAUCGACCGCCUGGGGAGUACGGCCGCAAGGUUAAAACUCAAAUGAAUUGACGGGGGCCCGCACAAGCGGUGGAGCAUGUGGUUUAAUUCGAUGCAACGCGAAGAACCUUACCUGGCCUUGACAUGUCUGGAAUCCCUAAGAGAUUGGGGAGUGCCUUCGGGAAUCAGAACACAGGUGC
rnacentral:rRNA from 1 species